rnacentral:rRNA from 1 species
UACACUCCUACGGGAGGCAGCAGUGGGGAAUAUUGCACAAUGGGCGCAAGCCUGAUGCAGCCAUGCCGCGUGUAUGAAGAAGGCCUUCGGGUUGUAAAGUACUUUCAGCGGGGAGGAAGGCGAUAAGGUUAAUAACCUUGUCGAUUGACGUUACCCGCAGAAGAAGCACCGGCUAACUCCGUGCCAGCAGCCGCGGUAAUACGGAGGGUGCAAGCGUUAAUCGGAAUUACUGGGCGUAAAGCGCACGCAGGCGGUCUGUCAAGUCGGAUGUGAAAUCCCCGGGCACAACCUGGGAACUGCAUUCGAAACUGGCAGGCUAGAGUCUUGUAGAGGGGGGUAGAAUUCCAGGUGUAGCGGUGAAAUGCGUAGAGAUCUGGAGGAAUACCGGUGGCGAAGGCGGCCCCCUGGACAAAGACUGACGCUCAGGUGCGAAAGCGUGGGGAGCAAACAGGAUUAGAUACCCCUGUAGUCCCA